rnacentral:rRNA from 1 species
AUUUAAAUAAUUUAGGAAAUAAAAGUUUCAAAACAAACCUAUUUAUUUUGGCGGCAUUUCAUCUUAUUAGAGGAACCUGUUUUUUAAUCGACACUCCACGAUAUAUCUUCACUUUAUUAACAAAUUUAUAUAUCAUCAUCUUAAAAUAAAUUUUAAAAUAAAACUUAAAAAAUUACUCUAAAAAGAUAGAUCAAGGUGUAAUUAAUAAUAAAGAUAAAAUGGGUUACUUUAAAUUAAUAUUUAAAGAUUUUAAAAAUUAAAAUUUAUAAUAAAUUAGGAUUUAAUAGUAAAAAUAAAAAAUUAUUUUAUUUUGAAAAAGAUUAUUUAUGUGC